rnacentral:rRNA from 1 species
GUGGGGAAUAUUGGACAAUGGGCGAAAGCCUGAUCCAGCCAUGCCGCGUGUGUGAAGAAGGUCUUCGGAUUGUAAAGCACUUUAAGUUGGGAGGAAGGGCAGUAAGUUAAUACCUUGCUGUUUUGACGUUACCGACAGAAUAAGCACCGGCUAACUUCGUGCCAGCAGCCGCGGUAAUACGAAGGGUGCAAGCGUUAAUCGGAAUUACUGGGCGUACAGCGCGCGUAGGUGGUUUUGUAAGUUGGAGGUGAAAUCCCCGGGAUCAACCUGGGAACUGCCUCCAAAACUGCAUGACUAGAGUACGGUAGAGGGUAGUGGAAUUGCCUGUGUAGCGGUGAAAUGCGUAGAUAUAGGAAGGAACACCAGUGGCGAAGGCGACUACCUGGACGGAUACUGACACUGAGGUGCGAAAGCGUGGGGAGCAAACAGGAUUAGAAACCCCUGUAGUCC